rnacentral:rRNA from 1 species
AUUGAACGCUGGCGGCAGGCCUAACACAUGCAAGUCGGACGGUAGCACAGAGGAGCUUGCUCCUCGGGUGACGAGUGGCGGACGGGUGAGUAAUGUCUGGGGAUCUGCCCGAUAGAGGGGGAUAACCACUGGAAACGGUGGCUAAUACCGCAUAACGUCGCAAGACCAAAGAGGGGGACCUUCGGGCCUCUCACUAUCGGAUGAACCCAGAUGGGAUUAGCUAGUAGGCGGGGUAACGGCCCACCUAGGCGACGAUCCCUAGCUGGUCUGAGAGGAUGACCAGCCACACUGGAACUGAGACACGGCCCAGACUCCUACGGGAGGCAGCAGUGGGGAAUAUUGCACAAUGGGCGCAAGCCUGAUGCAGCCAUGCCGCGUGUAUGAAGAAGGCCUUCGGGUUGUAAAGUACAUUCAGCGGGGAGGAAGGCGAUGUGGUUAAUAACCGCGUCGAUUGACGUUACCCGCAGAAGAAGCACCGGCUAACUCCGUGCCAGCCGCCGCCGUAA